AGAGUUUGAUCAUGGCUCAGGAUGAACGCUAGCGGCAGGCCUAAUACAUGCAAGUCGAGGGGUAAGGCCCAUUUCGGUGGGUACACGACCGGCGCACGGGUGCGUAACGCGUAUGCAACCUACCUUUAACAGGGGGAUAGCCCCGAGAAAUCGGGAUUAACACCCCAUAAAAUUAUUUUACUGCAUGGUAGAAUAAUUAAAACUCCGGUGGUUAAAGAUGGGCAUGCGUGACAUUAGCUUGUUGGUGAGGUAACGGCUCACCAAGGCGACGAUGUCUAGGGGUUCUGAGAGGAUGAUCCCCCACACUGGUACUGAGACACGGACCAGACUCCUACGGGAGGCAGCAGUAAGGAAUAUUGCGCAAUGGAGGCAACUCUGACGCAGCCAUGCCGCGUGCAGGAAGACGGCCUUAUGGGUUGUAAACUGCUUUUAUAAGGGAAUAAACUCUCGUUUGAGAACGGGACUGAAGGUACCUUAUGAAUAAGCACCGGCUAACUCCGUGCCAGCAGCCGCGGUAAUACGGAGGGUGCGAGCGUUAUCCGGAUUUAUUGGGUUUAAAGGGUGCGCAGGCGGGAUAUUAAGUCAGUGGUGAAAUCUUCCGGCUCAACCGGGAAACUGCCAUUGAUACUGGUAUUCUUGAGUUUGGUUGAAGUGGGCGGAAUGUAGCAUGUAGCGGUGAAAUGCAUAGAGAUGCUACAGAACACCGAUUGCGAAGGCAGCUCACUAAGCCAAUACUGACGCUCAUGCACGAAAGCGUGGGGAGCGAACAGGAUUAGAUACCCUGGUAGUCCACGCUGUAAACGAUGAUAACUCGUUGUUGGCGAUACACAGUCAGCGGCCAAGCGAAAGCGAUAAGUUAUCCACCUGGGGGAGUACGAUCGCAAGGUUGAAACUCAAAGGAAUUGACGGGGGCCCGCACAAGCGGUGGAGCAUGUGGUUUAAUUCGAUGAUACGCGAGGAACCUUACCUGGGCUCAAAUGCAGGAUGACAGGUCCUGAAAGGGAUUUUUCUUCGGACAUUCUGCAAGGUGCUGCAUGGUUGUCGUCAGCUCGUGCCGUGAGGUGUCGGGUUAAGUCCCAUAACGAGCGCAACCCUUACUCUUAGUUACCAGCACGUAAAGGUGGGGACUCUAAGGGAACUGCCUACGCAAGUAGAGAGGAAGGUGGGGAUGACGUCAAAUCAGCACGGCCCUUACGUCCAGGGCUACACACGUGCUACAAUGGCCGGUACAGAGGGCAGCCACCCUGUGAGGGGGAGCGAAUCUCGAAAGCCGGUCUCAGUUCGGAUCGAAGUCUGCAACUCGACUUCGUGAAGCUGGAAUCGCUAGUAAUCGCGCAUCAGCCAUGGCGCGGUGAAUACGUUCCCGGGCCUUGUACACACCGCCCGUCAAGCCAUGGAAGCUGGGGGCGCCUGAAGUCGGUAACCGAUAAGGAACUGCCUAGGGCGAAACUAGUGACUGGGGCUAAGUCGUAACAAGGUA
rnacentral:rRNA from 1 species